rnacentral:rRNA from 1 species
UUGUACUUGUACCUUUUGCAUCAUGAUUUAGCCAGUAACCCCAAGCAAAGAGAACUUUAGUUUGGCCCCCCGAAACUAAGUGAGCUACUCCAAGACAGCCUUAUAUAGGGCGAACCCGUCUCUGUGGCAAAAGAGUGGGAAGAGCUUCGAGUAGAGGUGAUAAAUCUAUCGAACUUAGUGAUAGCUGGUUGUUUGAGAAAUGGAUAGGAGUUCAGCCUCUCGGCUUCUCGCUAAACCAAGAGAGUUAAUCUAAGGGGGUACAGCCCCUUAGAUAAAGGACACAACCUUUACAGGAGGGUAAAGAUCAUAUUUAACUUAAGGCAGAGUACCUCAGUGGGCUUAAAAGCAGCCACCUAUUCAGAAAGCGUUAAAGCUCUAGUACACGAUUCAGAUAACACAAUCUUAUCCCCCUUUCAAUAUCAAACCAUCCACUGCAAACAGUGGAGAAACAAUGCUAAAAUGAGUAAUAAGAGAAAAUUCUCUCCCUGCACAAGUGUAUCUCGGAACGGACCAACCACCGAGCUUUAACGUCCCCAAACAAAGAGGGGAAUGAAUCAUCACUAGAAAAACAUUCCCCGUUAACCCCACACCGGUGUGCUCCAUGGGAAAGACUAAAAGAAAGGGAAGGAACUCGGCAAACAAGCCUCGCCUGUUUACCAAAA